GAUGAAGAACGUAGCGAAAUGCGAUAAGUAAUGUGAAUUGCAGAAUUCAGUGAAUCAUCGAAUCUUUGAACGCACCUUGCGCCCUUUGGCUAUUCCGAAGGGCAUGCCUGUUUGAGUAUCGUGAACACCUCAACUCUCAUGGUUUGCCAUGAUGAGCUUGGACUUGGGGGUUUUGCUGGCCUUCGGUCGGCUCCUCUCAAACGGAUCAGCUUUCCAGUGUUUGGUGGCGUCACGGGUGUGAUAACUAUCAACGCCUGUGGUUUUCUGCCAGAUAACCUUCAGCGAUGGAGGUUCGCUGGGGCUCAUAAAUGUCUCUCUUCAGUGGAGACAGCUUUUUGGACGUUUGAUCUCAAAUCAGGUAGGACUACCCGCUGAACUUAAGCAUAUCAAUAAGCGGAGGA
rnacentral:misc_RNA from 1 species